AUUGAACGCUGGCGGCAGGCUUAGCACAUGCAAGUCGAGCGGAGAGAGGUAGCUUGCUACUGAUCUUAGCGGCGGACGGGUGAGCAAUGCUUAGGAAUCUGCCUAUUAGUGGGGGACAACAUUUCGAAAGGAAUGCUAAUACCGCAUACGUCCUACGGGAGAAAGCAGGGGAUGUUCGGACCUUGCGCUAAUAGAUGAGCCUAAGGCGGAUUAGCUAGUUGGUGGGGUAAAGGCCUACCAAGGCGACGAUCUGUAGCGGGUCUGAGAGGAGGAUCCGGCACACUGGGACUGAGACACGGCCCAGACGCCUACGGGAGGCAGCAGUGGGGAAUAUUGGACAAUGGGCGCAAGCCUGAUCCAGCCAUGCCGCGUGUGUGAAGAAGGCCUUAUGGUUGUAAAGCACUUUAAGCGAGGAGGAGGCUACUUUAGUUAAUACCUAGAGAUAGUGGACGUUACUCGCAGAAUAAGCACCGGCUAACUCUGUGCCAGCAGCCGCCGUAAAAC
rnacentral:rRNA from 1 species